rnacentral:rRNA from 1 species
AGCUCCAAUAGCGUAUAUUAAAGUUGUUGCAGUUAAAAAGCUCGUAGUUGGAUUUCUGAUACGAAUGUCCGGUCCGCUUAUGUAUUUAAGUGUGUACUAUGUGAUAUUUGUUUCAUUUUUUGUGAGGAAAUUUCUCUGUCAUUAAGUUGAUGGGUUUAUGGACUUGCAUCUUUUACUGUGAAAAAAUUAGAGUGUUUAAAGCAGGCGUUUGCCUUUGAAUACAUUAGCAUGGAAUAAUAAGAUAUGACUUUGGUGGUCUAUUUUGUUGGUUUGCACACCAGAGUAAUGAUUAAUAGGGACAGUUGGGGGUAUUCAUAUUUCAGCGUCAGAGGUGAAAUUCUUAGAUCGCUGAAAGAUGAGCUUAGGCGAAAGCAUUUACCAAGGAUGUUUUCAUUAAUCA